rnacentral:rRNA from 1 species
GAUUCGUCACACUAUCAUUAACUGAAUCCAUAGGUUAAUGAGGCGAACCGGGGGAACUGAAACAUCUAAGUACCCCGAGGAAAAGAAAUCAACCGAGAUUCCCCCAGUAGCGGCGAGCGAACGGGGAGGAGCCCAGAGCCUGAAUCAGCAUGUGUGUUAGUGGAAGCGUCUGGAAAGGCGCGCGAUACAGGGUGACAGCCCCGUACACAAAAGCGCAUGUGCUGUGAGCUCGAUGAGUAGGGCGGGACACGUGGUAUCCUGUCUGAAUAUGGGGGGACCAUCCUCCAAGGCUAAAUACUCCUGACUGACCGAUAGUGAACCAGUACCGUGAGGGAAAGGCGAAAAGAACCCCGGCGAGGGGAGUGAAAAAGAACCUGAAACCGUGUACGUACAAGCAGUGGGAGCACCCUUCGGGGUGUGACUGCGUACCUUUUGUAUAAUGGGUCAGCGACUUAUAUUCUGUAGCAAGGUUAACCGUAUAGGGGAGCCGGAGGGAAACCGAGUCUUAAUUGGGCGUUAAGUUGCAGGGUAUAGACCCGAAACCCGGUGAUCUAGCCAUGGGCAGGUUGAAGGUUGGGUAACACUAACUGGAGGACCGAACCGACUAAUGUUGAAAAAUUAGCGGAUGACCUGUGGCUGGGGGUGAAAGGCCAAUCAAACCGGGAGAUAGCUGGUUCUCCCCGAAAGCUAUUUAGGUAGCGCCUCGUGAAUUCAUCUCCGGGGGUAGAGCACUGUUUCGGCUAGGGGGCCAUCCCGGCUUACCAACCCGAUGCAAACUGCGAAUACCGGAGAAUGUUAUCACGGGAGACACACGGCGGGUGCUAACGUCCGUCGUGAAGAGGGAAACAACCCAGACCGCCAGCUAAGGUCCCAAAGUCAUGGUUAAGUGGGAAACGAUGUGGGAAGGCCCAGACAGCCAGGAUGUUGGCUUAGAAGCAGCCAUCAUUUAAAGAAAGCGUAAUAGCUCACUGGUCGAGUCGGCCUGCGCGGAAGAUGUAACGGGGCUAAACCAUGCACCGAAGCUGCGGCAGCGAACGUAUCACCCAAGACAACUUUACGGAGUUGACGAUUGACGGAGCGAAGCGACGUCAAAGCGUUCAUUAAAGUCGAGUUGGCUUAGGGAUACGUUCGUUGGGUAGGGGAGCGUUCUGUAAGCCUGUGAAGGUGUGUCGUGAGGCAUGCUGGAGGUAUCAGAAGUGCGAAUGCUGACAUAAGUAACGAUAAAGCGGGUGAAAAGCCCGCUCGCCGGAAGACCAAGGGUUCCUGUCCAACGUUAAUCGGGGCAGGGUGAGUCGACCCCUAAGGCGAGGCCGAAAGGCGUAGUCGAUGGGAAACGGGUUAAUAUUCCCGUACUUGGUGUUACUGCGAAGGGGGGACGGAGAAGGCUAUGUUGGCCGGGCGACGGUUGUCCCGGUUUAAGCGUGUAGGUGUGUGUUCCAGGUAAAUCCGGUUCACUUUAACACUGAG